rnacentral:misc_RNA from 1 species
AAGUCGUAACAAGGUUUCCGUAGGUGAACCUGCGGAAGGAUCAUUAAAAACUUUUAUCCGGGAAUUCGUUUCGUUUUCCCGGAUUAUUUGUAUUCAAAUCCCACUCUUUAUAAAUAUAUCAAUUUAUAUAAAACAAAAAUAAAAAAGAAAACUUUCAACAACGGAUCUCUUGGCUCUC